CGCUCAGAUUGAACGCUGGCGGCAGGCCUAACACAUGCAAGUCGAGCGGCAGCACGGGUACUUGUACCUGGUGGCGAGCGGCGGACGGGUGAGUAAUGCCUAGGAAUCUGCCUGGUAGUGGGGGAUAACGUCCGGAAACGGGCGCUAAUACCGCAUACGUCCUACGGGAGAAAGUGGGGGAUCUUCGGACCUCACGCUAUCAGAUGAGCCUAGGUCGGAUUAGCUAGUUGGUGAGGUAAUGGCUCACCAAGGCGACGAUCCGUAACUGGUCUGAGAGGAUGAUCAGUCACACUGGAACUGAGACACGGUCCAGACUCCUACGGGAGGCAGCAGUGGGGAAUAUUGGACAAUGGGCGAAAGCCUGAUCCAGCCAUGCCGCGUGUGUGAAGAAGGUCUUCGGAUUGUAAAGCACUUUAAGUUGGGAGGAAGGGUACUUACCUAAUACGUGAGUAUUUUGACGUUACCGACAGAAUAAGCACCGGCUAACUCUGUGCCAGCAGCCGCGGUAAUACAGAGGGUGCAAGCGUUAAUCGGAAUUACUGGGCGUAAAGCGCGCGUAGGUGGUUUGUUAAGUUGGAUGUGAAAGCCCCGGGCUCAACCUGGGAACUGCAUCCAAAACUGGCAAGCUAGAGUAUGGUAGAGGGUGGUGGAAUUUCCUGUGUAGCGGUGAAAUGCGUAGAUAUAGGAAGGAACACCAGUGGCGAAGGCGACCACCUGGACUGAUACUGACACUGAGGUGCGAAAGCGUGGGGAGCAAACAGGAUUAGAUACCCUGGUAGUCCACGCCGUAAACGAUGUCAACUAGCCGUUGGGAGCCUUGAGCUCUUAGUGGCGCAGCUAACGCAUUAAGUGACCGC
rnacentral:rRNA from 1 species